UAGGGAAUCUUCGGCAAUGGACGAAAGUCUGACCGAGCAACGCCGCGUGAGUGAAGAAGGUUUUCGGAUCGUAAAACUCUGUUGUUAGAGAAGAACAAGGACGUUAGUAACUGAACGUCCCCUGACGGUAUCUAACCAGAAAGCCACGGCUAACUACGUGCCAGCAGCCGCGGUAAUACGUAGGUGGCAAGCGUUGUGCGGAUUUAUUGGGCGUAAAGCGAGCGCAGGCGGUUUCUUAAGUCUGAUGUGAAAGCCCCCGGCUCAACCGGGGAGGGUCAUUGGAAACUGGGAGACUUGAGUGCAGAAGAGGAGAGUGGAAUUCCAUGUGUAGCGGUGAAAUGCGUAGAUAUAUGGAGGAACACCAGUGGCGAAGGCGGCUCUCUGGUCUGUAACUGACGCUGAGGCUCGAAAGCGUGGGGAGCAAACAGG
rnacentral:rRNA from 1 species